rnacentral:rRNA from 1 species
CACGUAGGGGGCGAGCGUUGUCCGGAUUUCUUGGGCGUAAAGAGCUCGUAGGCGGUUCGGCAAGUCGGGUGUGAAAUUUCGAGGCUCAACCUCGAAACGCCACUCGAUACUGCUGUGACUGGAGUCCGGUAGAGGAGUGCGGAAUUCCUGGUGUAGCGGUGAAAUGCGCAGAUAUCAGGAGGAACACCAACGGCGAAGGCAGCACUCUGGGCCGGUACUGACGCUGAGGAGCGAAAGCGUGGGGAGCAAACAGG